AACCUCACUAAAUUCAUUAGCCAAAACUGAAUUAUUUCCCCCUCAUUUAUUUUCACGUUUUGGUUUCCCUCCUCUCAAACUAAAACAUUCCCCCUUUUUUUUUUGGUUUCACAAACCCCCAAAAUAAUUUUCCCACAAACUCCAUACUCAAACCCAAGAUGAACUCACAAACCCUAAAAUAAAAUUAACCAUUAAUUUUCCCCAAAACUUCAAUCACUCUCUCAGAUGAACAAAUUUUUCCAAUUCACUCUCAAAACUGAAUCACUCUCUUAGAACAGUGCUAAAUCACAACCUUUUUCCAUAACAAUUUUAAAUCGCAGCCUCUUUCCACUCUCUACCUCUCAACUGCAUCGCAAGCUCUCUCCUUCUUAGAUCUGAAUCCCAACCUCUCACCUUAGCAAGAUUCUUCUGAAUUUGAAGCUGAAUUUGUAUAUCUUCACUAAAUCUGACUCCCAAAAUCAUCACGGUAACCACUAUCAAUCUCAGAAUUUAUUUGUUAUUUUUUUAAUUUUUUUUUAAUAUUUUUUCUCUUCAGUGAAGUUAUUGUUUGUGAUACUUAUUUUUCUGAUGUUGUUUUAACUUACACAUUAACUGUUAUUUUUGUCAUGGCCAUAUGGAAGUGAAGCUUGUUGAAACAAAGGGAAUGGAAUCUUACAUUUGGAUUUUGGGUUUGAAUUUUUUCUGUUAUGUGAUAUGGUGUUGAAAACAUUUAGAGUUAUAGGGUUUGUAAGUUUUAGAUUGUGUUAUGUAAAUUCAGAACAUUUGAGGUCAAUAUGAUUUUGUUAUGACCUUUCUUGGAUGAUGUUGUAUGAUUGUUUUACUUGUGAUGUUUGUUUUUAUUGUUUUGCAUGGCCAAUAUUUGGAGUUAUGUACUUUGCUUUUAAUGCCUAAGUCAUUUGAAGAUAAUGCGCUUGAAAUCUAUCCUCACGUCACAUAUUAGCAUGACUUUGCAAUUAAGGGGGGUGCUGACAGCAUUUGGGGCCUGUUUUCCAUGACUGUUUUUUAUGCCUAGUGGACUCUGUGUGUGUUGUGUGUGUUUUUGUGCUGUUUUUAGGCCAUUGAGGUGUUUGAAUAGCAGCAGUUUCAGACCUGUUAUUUAUCAUUCAAAUUUUACAUAUUAAGAAAUAAGUGCGACGAGUAAUUGUAUUGAUAAGUCACAUGAAUACAAGAUAAUUUGAGACA